ACGCUGGCGGCAGGCCUAACACAUGCAAGUCGAGCGGUGGAGAGAAGCUUGCUUCUCUUGAGAGCGGCGGACGGGUGAGUAAUGCCUAGGAAUCUGCCUGGUAGUGGGGGAUAACGUUCGGAAACGGACGCUAAUACCGCAUACGUCCUACGGGAGAAAGCAGGGGACCUUCGGGCCUUGCGCUAUCAGAUGAGCCUAGGUCGGAUUAGCUAGUUGGUGGGGUAAUGGCUCACCAAGGCGACGAUCCGUAACUGGUCUGAGAGGAUGAUCAGUCACACUGGAACUGAGACACGGUCCAGACUCCUACGGGAGGCAGCAGUGGGGAAUAUUGGACAAUGGGCGAAAGCCUGAUCCAGCCAUGCCGCGUGUGUGAAGAAGGUCUUCGGAUUGUAAAGCACUUUAAGUUGGGAGGAAGGGUUGUAGAUUAAUACUCUGCAAUUUUGACGUUACCGACAGAAUAAGCACCGGCUAACUCUGUGCCAGCAGCCGCGGUAAUACAGAGGGUGCAAGCGUUAAUCGGAAUUACUGGGCGUAAGGCGCGCGUAGGUGGUUUGUUAAGUUGGAUGUGAAAUCCCCGGGCUCAACCUGGGAACUGCAUUCAAAACUGACUGACUAGAGUAUGGUAGAGGGUGGUGGAAUUUCCUGUGUAGCGGUGAAAUGCGUAGAUAUAGGAAGGAACACCAGUGGCGAAGGCGACCACCUGGACUAAUACUGACACUGAGGUGCGAAAGCGUGGGGAGCAAAC
rnacentral:rRNA from 1 species